rnacentral:rRNA from 1 species
GCAUAUCAAUAAGCGGAGGAAAAGAAACCAACAGGGAUUGCCCUAGUAACGGCGAGUGAAGCGGCAAGAGCUCAAAUUUGAAAUCUGGCCCCUCCGGGGUCCGAGUUGUAAUUUGCAGAGGAUGCUUCGGGUGCGGUCCCCAUCUAAGUGCCCUGGAACGGGCCGUCAUAGAGGGUGAGAAUCCCGUCUGGGAUGGGUGGCCGUGCCCGUGUGAAGCUCCUUCGACGAGUCGAGUUGUUUGGGAAUGCAGCUCUAAAUGGGUGGUAAAUUUCAUCUAAAGCUAAAUAUUGGCCGGAGACCGAUAGCGCACAAGUAGAGUGAUCGAAAGAUGAAAAGCACUUUGAAAAGAGAGUUAAACAGCACGUGAAAUUGUUGAAAGGGAAGCGCUUGCGACCAGACUCGCCCGCGGGGGUUCAGCCGGUACUCGUACCGGUGUAUUCCCCCGUGGGCGGGCCAGCGUCGGUUUGGGCGGCCGGUCAAAGGCCCCCGGAAUGUGUCGCCUCUCGGGGCGUCUUAUAGCCGGGGGUGCAAUGCGGCCAGCCUGGACCGAGGAACGCGCUUCGGCACGGACGCUGGCGUAAUGGUCGUAAGCGGCCCGUCUUGAAACACGGACCAAGGAGUCUAACAUCUACGCGAGUGUUCGGGUGUCAAACCCGUCCGCGCAGUGAAAGCGAACGGAGGUGGGAACCUUUCGGGGUGCACCAUCGACCGAUCCUGAUGUCUUCGGAUGGAUUUGAGUAAGAGCGUAGCUGUUGGGACCCGAAAGAUGGUGAACUAUGCCUGAAUAGGGCGAAGCCAGAGGAAACUCUGGUGGAGGCUCGCAGCGGUUCUGACGUGCAAAUCGAUCGUCAAAUUUGGGUAUAGGGGCGAAAGACUAAUCGAACCAUCUGGUAGCUGGUUCCUGCCG